UCCUCUCCUGCCGCCGCCGCCGCCUCAGCCUCGGCCGGGCCGUGCUCUGCCGGCGCCCGUCGGCCUUGAUCCGGCCUCGCAGGAGGAGCUCGCCCUCGAGGAGGACUCGACAGGAGGAGGGGAGCAGUGCCUCUUCUCCCAUUCGCUUCUCUCCUCCCCACGUUCUAGAUCGGGCACAAGUCACCACCAUACAAGAGCAUGGGUUGCAUGAUCUUCAUGGUGGGCGUGGUGGAGCAAGGAGGGAGGAGGAUAGCGAUGGGGGAAGGAGAAGCAAGGUUGGAGCUCUGAGUGGAUGAGUGGUCGUCCGUUGCGCGCCGGCCGUCAUCCCCGUCCCCAAUCUGGGCUGCCUAUGUUUUACUGUUGUUCUCUGCAAAAUCAGCGUGAGUGCUUGAUGUUACCUCCAUCAGCUGAUGAGGCGAGGCUGCUGCUGCUGAAAAAUGGUGCUGCUACCGGAGGCAGUGGAGAGGCAUUCCGUGGACCAACUAUGGUGUGGUUCAGAUAGUCCAAGGAUUGGAAACUAUAACCUUGUCAAAUUCUACACAUAGCCAUUAUGACGACACAUUUAUGCGAUAGAUUGUCAAUAUUUAAGUUGAUACACUAAAGACGGAGAUGUGGAAAGCUUGCCACGGAGGCACACAGGCUUGCUGAUUCUGUUUUGGAUUUGUCCUUGAGAGGAGGCCGAAGCAAACUUCAACAGGCAUCAGGUGUGCAUCCUCUAUUCGUUGUGUUUGUCCCCCUAACUGUUUGUCUCCCUAACAGACCUUGAGCUUUGUACAUUUUGGUACAUAUAGUUAGUUACUUAGUUUACUUGCAGUUGACGAUGGUCAGAUCACAUACAUGCUUGGUUUUACUCAACUUAGUAGCUUCCAUUCAGUAGGCAGUCAGAACUAAUUUGUGAAAAUUAGACCAAAGGAAAGUCCGCCUUCCUUUUUUGUGCACAUAAAUACUUCUGGUUACAAUAUGUGACCAAAUUAAGUAAACUUAUACGAUAUAUUUCUUCAUUGUUCCGCUUACGGAAACUGAACUGCUGUUGUGUUAAUAUAUUAUAUUCAUCUUUAAAGGCCUUGUGGUCAGUUGCCAUUGUU